CCUACGGGAGGCAGCAGUGAGGAAUAUUGGUCAAUGGGCUUACGCCUGAACCAGCCAAGUCGCGUGAGGGAAGACUGCCCUAUGGGUUGUAAACCUCUUUUGUCAGGGAGCAAUUGGCGCUACGUGUAGCGUUAUCGAGAGUACCUGAAGAAAAAGCAUCUGCUAACUCCGUGCCAGCAGCCGCGGUAAUACGGAGGAUGCGAGCGUUAUCCGGAUUUAUUGGGUUUAAAGGGUGCGUAGGCGGAAUGCCAAGUCAGCGGGAAAAUCGCGGGGCUCAACCUCGCUCCGCCGUUGAAACUGGCGUUCUUGAGUGGGCGAGAAGUAUGCGGAAUGCGUGGUGUAGCGGUGAAAUGCAUAGAUAUCACGCAGAACUCCGAUUGCGAAGGCAGCAUACCGGCGCCCAACUGACGCUGAAGCACGAAAGCGUGGGUAUCGAACAGGAUUAGAUACCCGUGUAGUC
rnacentral:rRNA from 1 species